AUUAUUAGUGCGAAUCGUUCGUUCUUUAUUCUCAAAUUGAAAAAUAAAAAUGAAUUUCAAAGUUUUGUUUACAAUCGUAAUGGUGUUUAGUUUGAUUUCUAUGACAUCAUCAGGUCCAUGGCUGCCGGAAUAUGUUACGGAGGAUGUGCAGCAGUUGUUUGCGCCUGUUUCGCCGCGGCUGGUUUCACUUUCGGCACGGUUCCACUUUCCAUUAUCGCUGCAACCCCAGCACUGGCUGCCUGUAAUGCAGCUUUCGCCACUUGCGAGGCCGCUUGUAUAGCUGCAUUAGUUGCACCGACAUUUUAAAUUCAUGAAGAAGAUUCAGCAUAUUCC